rnacentral:rRNA from 1 species
UAGGGAAUUUUCCGCAAUGGGCGAAAGCCUGACGGAGCAACGCCGCGUGAAGGAAGAAGGUCUUCGGAUCGUAAACUUUUGUCUUCAGGGACGAUAAUGACGGUACCUGAGGAGGAAGCCACGGCUAACUACGUGCCAGCAGCCGCGGUAAUACGUAGGUGGCGAGCGUUGUCCGGAAUUAUUGGGCGUAAAGGGCGUGUAGGCGGCUAUUUAAGUCAGAUGUGAAAAUCCAAGGCUUAACCAUGGAACUGCAUUUGAAACUGGAUGGCUUGAGGAUCGGAGAGGGCAGUGGAAUUCCCAGUGUAGCGGUGAAAUGCGUAGAUAUUGGGAGGAACACCAGUGGCGAAGGCGACUGCCUGGACGACACCUGACGCUGAGGCGCGAAAGCUAGGGGAGCAAACG